UCGUGGAAUAGAGAAUAGUGCUGAGGC
rnacentral:piRNA from 2 species